UUUGGAAGUGAUGAGCUAUGAUUACCGCCCCAGUCUGAAAUCAUGUGACUGAUUGGUACCCCUCUGAUCCACA